AUACGUAGGGGGCGAGCGUUGUCCGAAUUCACUGGGCGUAAAGCGCGCGUAGGCGGGUUAUUAAGUUAGGGGUGAAAUCCCGAGGCUCAACCUCGGAACUGCCUUUGAAACUGUUAGCCUGGAGGUAUGGAGAGGGAAGUUGAAUUCCUGGUGUAGCGGUGAUAUGCGUAGAUAUCAGGAGGAACACCCGUGGCGAAGGCGGCUUCCUGGCCAUAUCCUGACGCUGAGGUGCGAAAGCUAGGGUAGCGAACGGGAUUAGAUACCCCGGUAGUCCUAGCCGUAAACGAUGGAUACUAGGUGUUAUAGGUAUCGACCCCUGUAGUGCCGGAGCUAACGCAUUAAGUAUCCCGCCUGGGGAGUACGACCGCAAGGUUGAA
rnacentral:rRNA from 1 species